rnacentral:rRNA from 1 species
AUGGGAAGCCCUGGACACGAAAAACAGCAGGAAACAGAGACCCAUGCAAUACUCCCAACUCCAGAUUCUUUCUUCAGUCACAAAACUGUGUUAAUUGGUAACAGGUAUAGUAGUAUUACUUUAGGAGUUAUUAUGGCCGAAAUGCACACUGAGCAACUCCAGUUGGCUGACUGGCAAUGCGAUAUAGCUCCUGAUCUUUUCCUGCUUGCUCGCAAGAAGAAUAUCUCUGUUGCAUCUGCCAUCGUCCAGGGGACUUGGAUGGUUGGUCUGCGGUGCAUCUCCAGUGCUUUGCAGCUUCGUCAGUUCAUUGGCUUGUGGACUGCCAACCUGCAAAUACAGCGCUAG